rnacentral:lncRNA from 1 species
UGGUGGUAUGACUACUUCUUUGACCUACGAUGUCUUAGCUACUCACAGUGAGGUUGCUAUGAUUUGACUAUACAUACAUUUGUCCCUAGCUAUAUAGGUCAUUGCGGUGCAUGUUGGCUGUAAUAGAUUCAUUGUAGGAGUAGGUUGCACCUAAAUGAGAUUUAUCGACCUUGGUAGAUAAGGAGAAGUCCUAUAUAAUUUAUAAAAUUGAGUUCAGAACUCCAUGGCCAUGGCAGAGUAAAUGAUGGAAACGAGUUUUCAUAAGGUUUCACUUAUGAACUCGAGU